rnacentral:rRNA from 1 species
UACGGGAGGCAGCAGUGGGGAAUAUUGCACAAUGGGCGCAAGCCUGAUGCAGCCAUGUCGCGUGUAUGAAGAAGGCCUUCGGGUUGUAAAGUACUUUCAGUCGUGAGGAAGGUGUUAAGGUUAAUAACCUUAGCAAUUGACGUUAGCGACAGAAGAAGCACCGGCUAACUCCGUGCCAGCAGCCGCGGUAAUACGGAGGGUGCGAGCGUUAAUCGGAAUUACUGGGCGUAAAGGGCACGCAGGCGGUUAAUUAAGUUGGAUGUGAAAUCCCCGGGCUUAACCUGGGAAUGGCAUUCAAGACUGGUUAGCUAGAGUCUUGUAGAGGGGGUAGAAUUCCAUGUGUAGCGGUGAAAUGCGUAGAGAUGUGGAGGAAUACCGGUGGCGAAGGCGGCCCCUGGGACAAAGACUGACGCUCAUGUGCGAAAGCGUGGGGAGCAAACAGGGAUUAGAUACC